AGUAUCUUCCUUUCUGAAACUUUUCAGGCAAUAUGCUGUCUUUUCUUGUUGGUUCAAAGCAAGCAUUUGAAGUCUCCAUAGCUGAUGUCUCCCAAACACAGCUACAAGGAAAGAAUGAUGUCAUAUUGGAAUUCCAUGUGGAUGACACAACUGGUGCAAAUGAGAAAGAUUCUUUGAUGGAGAUAAGUUUUCAAUUGAAGCCUUCUUAUGUUUUUUCCUCUCAUCUAUCUUUUAAUGUUGUUCAGAUUGUAACUAAUCUUUGCAAAUUGAUACAUACCAUGUUAUGAAAACUGAAAUGUUUAUAACCAAUUCAUAUUGAAACUGGUAAUUUAUUUUCCAAUCUAAUCUUCUCAUUCCUUUAGUCCAUCUCCCUACAACUUUCUAACAUGCUUUCUGAACAAUCCAGAAUCCAGGUCAACUUAAAGUUCAUCCAGGUGGUAUAUUAUGGAAGAAACAAGGAGGUGGUAAGGCUGUUGAAGUUGAUAAAUCUGAUAUUUCUGGUCUUACAUGGAUGAAAGUUCCACGGACUAAUCAGCUUGCUGUUAGAAUCAAAGAUGGUUUAAAGUACAAGUUCACUGGUUUUCGUGAUCAGGAUGUUAUUAGCCUGACCAACUUUUUCCAGAACUCCUGUGGGUUAACAACAGAAGAGAAACAACCCAUGACUUUUUCUGAUGAUAUCACAACAAUCCUGAGCAGUAUCAAUC